rnacentral:tRNA from 1 species
UCCCUGGUGGCCCAGCGGCUAGGACUCUACACUCCCAAUGCAGAGGCCCGGGCUGGAUCCCUGGUCAGGGAG